AACGAACGCUGGCGGCGUGGAUAAGACAUGCAAGUCGAGCGCUCAUUCGGUUGCAGCAAUGUAGCCGAGUGGGAGCGGCGCAAGGGUGCGUAACACGUGGGUAAUUUGCCAAGAAGUUUGGGAUAACUCGCUGAAAGGCGAGCUAAUACCGGAUGUGAUAUUUGGGAGGCAUCUUCUAAAUAUUAAAGUUGGGGACCGUAAGGCCUGACGUUUCUUGAUAAGCCCGCGGCCUAUCAGCUAGUUGGUGAGGUAACGGCUCACCAAGGCUAAGACGGGUAGCUGGUCUGAGAGGACGACCAGCCACACUGGAACUGAGACACGGUCCAGACACCUACGGGUGGCAGCAGUCGAGAAUUUUUCACAAUGGGCGCAAGCCUGAUGGAGCGACGCCGCGUGGGGGAUGAAGGGCUUCGGCCCGUAAACCCCUGUCAUUUGCGAACAAACCUCGCUAUUUAAAAGAUGGCGAGCUGAUUGUAGCGAAAGAGGAAGGGACGGCUAACU
rnacentral:rRNA from 1 species